rnacentral:rRNA from 1 species
UACGGAGGGUGCAAGCGUUAUCCGGAUUCACUGGGUUUAAAGGGCGCGUAGGUGGGCUGGUAAGUCAGUGGUGAAAUCUCCGGGCUUAACUUGGAAACUGCCAUUGAUACUAUCUGUCUUGAAUAUCCUGGAGGUGAGCGGAAUAUGUCAUGUAGCGGUGAAAUGCUUAGAUAUGACAUAGAACACCUAUUGCGAAGGCAGCUCACUACGGGAUUAUUGACACUGAGGCACGAAAGCGUGGGGAUCAAACAGG